ACACUCCUACGGGAGGCAGCAGUGGGGAAUAUUGGACAAUGGGCGCAAGCCUGAUCCAGCCAUGCCGCGUGAGUGAUGAAGGCCCUAGGGUUGUAAAGCUCUUUCACCGGUGAAGAUAAUGACGGUAACCGGAGAAGAAGCCCCGGCUAACUUCGUGCCAGCAGCCGCGGUAAUACGAAGGGGGCUAGCGUUGUUCGGAUUUACUGGGCGUAAAGCGCACGUAGGCGGACUAUUAAGUCAGGGGUGAAAUCCCGGGGCUCAACCCCGGAACUGCCUUUGAUACUGGUAGUCUUGAGUUCGAGAGAGGUGAGUGGAAUUCCGAGUGUAGAGGUGAAAUUCGUAGAUAUUCGGAGGAACACCAGUGGCGAAGGCGGCUCACUGGCUCGAUACUGACGCUGAGGUGCGAAAGCGUGGGGAGCAAACAGGGUUAGAAACCCGAGUAGUCCC
rnacentral:rRNA from 1 species